CCUACGGGAGGCAGCAGUGAGGAAUAUUGGUCAAUGGGCGUAAGCCUGAACCAGCCAAGUCGCGUGAGGGAUGAAGGUUCUAUGGAUCGUAAACCUCUUUUAUAAGGGAAUAAAGUGUGGGACGUGUCCUGUUUUGUAUGUACCUUAUGAAUAAGGAUCGGCUAACUCCGUGCCAGCAGCCGCGGUAAUACGGAGGAUCCGAGCGUUAUCCGGAUUUAUUGGGUUUAAAGGGUGCGUAGGUGGCUUUUUAAGUCAGCGGUGAAAGUCUGUGGCUCAACCAUAGAAUUGCCGUUGAAACUGGGAGGCUUGAGUACGUUUGAGGCAGGCGGAAUGCGUGGUGUAGCGGUGAAAUGCUUAGAUAUCACGCAGAACCCCGAUUGCGAAGGCAGCCUGCCAAGCCAUGACUGACGUUGAUGCACGAAAGCGUGGGGAUCAAACAGGAUUAGAUACCCUGGUAGUC
rnacentral:rRNA from 1 species